AAUCUAGAGUGAUUUGGCUAGGGUACGACGGGCCAGUUGGUGAAGUGGCGGGGACCAAAGAAAUCUGUUGGCCGCACUACUUGCGCCAGUCUGUAGUCGUAACUGCAAACUCAGGGUAGUUUGAAUCAAUUUUGUUUAUCAAGAUUGUCAGGGCGCGAGGGCCAGCUGGUGAGAUGGCGGGGGCCAGAGAUGUUGUAAGCUGCACUACAUGUGUCAUAUGUGGUUGACAAUGUGGCGGGGGCUUAAGGUGUACAUAGUUGAAUACUAUGGUGAUACACAAGUUUUCUGUAUAUGGUAUACAGUAGCAAACCAUUUUGAGUGUUAGAGGUCUAUACCUGUGGUGGAUAUGGCUUGUAUUCAGUGUGAACGGAAUGGUGGAAAGGUAUUCUCAAGGAAACGCGUAGCGUAAUAAAGGUGGUCGAACGUUUUUGUCAUUCUGAUGAAUCUCUGGACAUAAGCUUUAAAAAAAAAAAAAAAGAU